AUUGAACGCUGGCGGCAGGCUUAACACAUGCAAGUCGAGCGGGGUGAUGGUGCUUGCACUAUCACUUAGCGGCGGACGGGUGAGUAAUGCUUAGGAAUCUGCCUAUUAGUGGGGGACAACACCUCGAAAGGGAUGCUAAUACCGCAUACGUCCUACGGGAGAAAGCAGGGGAUCACUUGUGACCUUGCGCUAAUAGAUGAGCCUAAGUCGGAUUAGCUAGUUGGUGGGGUAAAGGCCUACCAAGGCGACGAUCUGUAGCGGGUCUGAGAGGAUGAUCCGCCCCACUGGAACUGAGACACGGCCCAGACUCCUACGGGAGGCAGCAGUGGGGAAUAUUGGACAAUGGGGGGAACCCUGAUCCAGCCAUGCCGCGUGUGUGAAGAAGGCCUUAUGGUUGUAAAGCACUUUAAGCGAGGAGGAGGCUCUUUUGGUUAAUACCCAAGAUGAGUGGACGUUACUCGCAGAAUAAGCACCGGCUAACUCUGUGCCAGCCGCCGCCGUAA
rnacentral:rRNA from 1 species